UGACUAACACCUUGUCGUCCACUGCUUGUGGGAACGAAGAGGGAUGCAUGAAAGCGCUGCUGAAGAGGUGGAAAAGAUGGUGAUAGUAGUGGAAAUGAUGGAGGUGGUGAAGAAGGAAAAGGAGGAGUUGGAGAACAAAGACAGAAAGAAAAGAGCGGCGAAUGCCGCAUGUAACGCUUAGUCUUUCUUGAAGCUGUAAGUAAAAGGAGAGGGAGUAGGAUGAACCAUGCUUCUUAAGUGUCUGUACGUGAGAACGAGGAGGUUAUUCACUGUUCUACGGAAAUGUUCGAGCAUGAUGAUGUUGCCACAGUAAUGUGCCUUUUAUAAUCUCUGAUAGUUAUAUGAAUUCAUUCGUAAUGUUUAUGAUACUAAUGUAAAUUAUCGAUAAGGCAAUAAAUACUACAGUUUUUUAAAUUAUUUAUUUUAUAUACUUUUAAUGAUUAUGAUUUACGCUUAAAUAACAUUGAAUUAUUUAAUAAUUGAUUUUUAUUAAAAAUACCUUUCCCUUUUUCUGAGAAUUAUUAGUUAAACUUGUAAUGCGCACCCCUAAAUAAUAAUUAUAGCAUUGUUAUAUAUAUAUAUUUUUUUUUUGUUUAAAUACGAAACAAGCGAAUGUAUUAAUAAAAUUUCAUUUGUCAAGCGAUACAUUACCAUAUUUACAUUGUAUCUACAUCAUCUAACAUUUUAUUACGUUAUAUUCGUUUAAUAAUGUGAUUAAGAUAGUUUGUGGAAGGACUGUGCAGUAAUAAUACACGCGAAAAUAGCGAUAAUAAUGUAUGCCUAUCGUUACAACAUACUUUGCUUCUACGAUUUCCGCCGUAUCUUAUCCCGCAAUUGUAUUUUACUCAAAUGAGAUAAAUGCGAUACAUUACUGUAAUGCCGAUUGAUUAUUAUUACAAGAGUCGUAGUGUUCGAAAUCGACUAUUUAUUGCUCCUAGGAAUUUAUGUUUCUCUGGAGAUUCUUAAUACUGACUUUUCUCCGAAAAAUCACAGAAUUCAAUUUCAUUCUUUUGUCUUUUUUUUUUUUUCGUUUGUUUAAAUAUUCAUAAAUUUUAUUCAUGUAAUUGUUCCUCGAAAAACAUUUGAGUUAAUUUCCAGUAUUACUGGGUUAUCGAAUGACAAUCAAAUAUUUUGAAUAAAUUUUUUUUAGAUUAUAUUAUACGAUUUUACUAUUUCCUUUUUUUUUUUUGUCUUCCAAAUAACAAGCGACGCACGAAUCUCCGGACGUUUCAUCGAGUAAGCGCAAUUUCACACACAUAUUAAUUCUACUUUCGAAGAAAUAUUUUUUUUUUUCUUUUCGUUUUAUACGAGGUACGCACAACAACAUUCGAGCAACGUGCAUGAGUCAGCGACGCGCGCUCAACCGAAUACGCACGUUAAAAAAAAAGAAAGAAAAAAAAACAGAGGAUUCUCACACGUGGAAAAAGCAUGACCUAUAACGCACGUCGCUGUUACAAUGAACAAGUGGUAUCGUAGAUUACAAUAUGGUACUUGCUCAGUCUACCCGUUUGUGAGAACAGACAAAGAGGAGAUAAGAUUGCCGCUUUAUGCUUAAACUAAUUGCGCGCUGACAAUAUUUAAAAUUACCGAUAUAAGCGAGAAUCGCGUUUUGCUUUUCUUUUUCUCGCAGCAUUUCAAUCGAAUACUGACUGUUUUAGAGACCAGCAGAUUUCCAAAAAAAUCUAUCUUCGCGAUUAAUGAGAAUUCUAAAGCAAAACCAGAAUUCUCUCUCGCUUCAAUUUUCAUUCUAGAUAUAACACAGUAGUUAUAGGGUACUUUUACAUAGCACGGAACAUGUUUAUUAUAUUUCCAUUUGUGUUUUUAUUCUGUUAAUUUCUCAUAUAAUACUAACAAAACAUUUAAUUACAAAACAUGGUACGAGUGUGUGUUGUAUUUUCUUUUUGUAUGUAUUAUGUAUGUGUCAUAUGUAAGUAAGUGUAUAUAUGUAUCGUGUGAUGAAAGCAUUAAUUAUGCAUCUCUAUGUGGUAUGCAUAUCAUCUGGUUAAUGUAAAUAUUACGAUUAUUUCAUAAGUUCUCUACAAGUAGAUGGAUUUUAUAACGACAAUUUACACGCCGAACGCGUGCAGUAAAUACGUCCCAUUUGCCCGCAGCGUCUCUUCGUUUAAUUUUACAUUCAUCACGACUUCGUCUUGUAUGGGCCUACGACCAAUUCUUUUCUAUAAUCUAUUCCGAUGAAUAUG